rnacentral:rRNA from 1 species
AGAGUUUGAUCAUGGCUCAGGAUAAACGCUGGCGGCGUGCCUAACACAUGCAAGUCGAACGCCCUUGCGCAAGUAAGGGAGUGGCGGACGGGUGAGGAACACGUGGAUCAUCUCCCUUGAGGUGAGGGAUACCGGCGAGAAAUCGCCGACAAGACCGCAUACGCUUCGUGUACCAACAGGAAGCAAAGUCGCAAGACGCCACAAGAUGAGUCCGCGUCCGAUUAGCUGGUUGGUGGGGUAAAGGCCUACCAAGGCGACGAUCGGUAGCUGGUCUGAGAGGACGAUCAGCCACACUGGGAUUGAGAACGGCCCAGACUCCUACGGGGGGCAGCAGUGAGGAAUUUUCCGCAAUGGACGCAAGUCUGACGGAGCAACGCCGCGUGCAGGAAGACGGCCUUCGGGUUGUAAACUGCUUUUCUCUGGGACGAGAGAGGACGGUACCAGAGGAAUCAGCCUCGGCUAACUACGUGCCAGCAGCCGCGGUAAUACGUAGGAGGCGAGCGCUGUCCGGAGUUACUGGGCGUAAAGCGCACGCAGGCGGUCGAUCAAGUUCUGGGUGACAGUUUCCGGCUUAACCGGGAAAGUGCCUGGAAAACUGGUUGACUUGAGGGCUUCAGAGGGAGACGGAAUUCCGGGUGGAGUGGUGAAAUGCGUAGAUAUCCGGAGGAACACCAAAGGCGAAGGCAGUCUCCUGGGAAGAACCUGACGCUCAGGUGCGAAAGCUAGGGGAGCGAACGGGAUUAGAUACCCCGGUAGUCCUAGCCGUAAACGAUGACCACUAGAUGUGGGGGGUAUCGACCCCCUCCGUGUCGCAGCAAACGCACUAAGUGGUCCGCCUGGGGAGUACGGUCGCAAGAUUAAAACUCAAAGGAAUUGACGGGGACCCGCACAGCAGCGGAGCGUGUGGUUUAAUUCGAUGCAACGCGAAGAACCUUACCAGGGUUUGACAUGCAAUCGCACCACCGAGAGAUCGGUGUACCCGCAAGGGAA